rnacentral:rRNA from 1 species
UCACCACCUACCUGCUGUCCUGUUGGGCUAGCGUUGGCACCACCAAAUGCCCCCGUCCGCUGAUGGGCACAGGUCGUUCGAGAUGACUUGUGGACGCUGCCCAACAUUACGGGGCAGCUGCCUCACGAGCCAUGCUUUUGGGGUGCUUCCAUACGUUGGAGCUGUGGUAUACCGCUCAGUGCUGCACAUGUGAAAGCCUGUGUAUGGCUGCUGCGUGGCAAUGUGUCGGUGGCGGGCCGCCUCGCUUGGCUGGUUCGCUGCGCCAAUGUGGGAUGCACGCUCGUGGGGCGACCUAACGGCUGUGCUGGCGUCUGUGCGUCGUUGAGCGGUUGUUGUGGCAGGCACAUAACACACUGACUGGGGAUGGUGGUUUCGUUCCCGGUCUUACGUGCCGUAACUAGCGGUGUGUUUGUGCUUGCUGCUACGUCCGUGGCCGUGAUGAGACGACGCGGUAGGGCCCGUGCUUGGCCUAGCACGUGGCUUAAGACUCAAUGAGUGUCAGCUCGGGCACCGCCAGCUUUUUCUUUUUUUUUCAUUAUUUUUUUUUACACUUCUGUUGAAGAAUGAAUUCUAGUCUUAUCGGUGGAUCACUCGGCUCGUGGAUCGAUGAAGAACGCAGCCAACUGCGAUAAUUAGUGCGAACUGCAGAAACCUUGAACACAAAACAUUCGAAUGCACAUUGCGCCAUUGGAGUUACAUCCAUUGGCACGCCUGGUUCAGGGUCGUUACCAUAAAAUGCACUGCUUGUGCGUUGCUUCGUGGGAUCAUGUACUUGUACGUGUUCUUACGUUACUUGCUCAGCUCGGCUGUGGGGUUUUGGUGUGCUGGCGCGAACUUGUGGUUCUAAUUCGCGUUUUACGGACCGUAACUCGGGCGCACCAAUGCUUUGCAUGCUGUGGCGGAGUGCCUGGAUUACUGGCAUUCCUGCUUUGAUUCGAC